rnacentral:rRNA from 1 species
AUGAACGCUAGCUACAGGCUUAACACAUGCAAGUCGAGGGGCAUCAGGAUGUAGCAAUACAUUGCUGGCGACCGGCGCACGGGUGAGUAACACGUAUCCAACCUGCCUUUUACUCGGGGAUAGGCUUUCGAAAGAAAGAUUAAUACCCGAUGGCAUAAUAUUUCCGCAUGGGAUUAUUAUUAAAGAAUUUCGGUAAAAGAUGGGGAUGCGUUCCAUUAGGCAGUUGGCGGGGUAACGGCCCACCAAACCUUCGAUGGAUAGGGGUUCUGAGAGGAAGGUCCCCCACAUUGGAACUGAGACACGGUCCAAACUCCUACGGGAGGCAGCAGUGAGGAAUAUUGGUCAAUGGGCGGAAGCCUGAACCAGCCAAGUAGCGUGAAGGAUGACUGCCCUAUGGGUUGUAAACUUCUUUUAUAGGGGAAUAAAGUGAGCCACGUGUGGCUUUUUGUAUGUACCCUAUGAAUAAGGAUCGGCUAACUCCGUGCCAGCAGCCGCGGUAAUACGGAGGAUCCGAGCGUUAUCCGGAUUUAUUGGGUUUAAAGGGAGCGUAGGUGGACAUGUAAGUCAGUUGUGAAAGUUUGCGGCUCAACCGUAAAAUUGCAGUUGAUACUGUGUGUCUUGAGUACAGUAGAGGUGGGCGGAAUUCGUGGUGUAGCGGUGAAAUGCUUAGAUAUCACGAAGAACUCCGAUUGCGAAGGCAGCUCACUGGACUGUUACUGACACUGAGGCUCGAAAGUGUGGGUAUCAAACAGGAUUAGAUACCCUGGUAGUCCACACAGUAAACGAUGAAUACUCGCUGUUUGCGAUAUACGGCAAGCGGCCAAGCGAAAGCAUUAAGUAUUCCACCUGGGGAGUACGCCGGCAACGGUGAAACUCAAAGGAAUUGACGGGGGCCCGCACAAGCGGUGGAGCAUGUGGUUUAAUUCGAAGCAACGCGAAGAACCUUACCAAGUCUUGACAUCCUGCGACGGUGCUGGAAACAGUACUUUCCUUCGGGACGCAGAGACAGGUGGUGCAUGGUUGUCGUCAGCUCGUGUCGUGAGAUGUUGGGUUAAGUCCCGCAACGAGCGCAACCCCUGUGAUUAGUUGCCAGCGAGUAAUGUCGGGAACUCUAAUCAAACUGCCGGUGAUAAAUCGGAGGAAGGUGGGGACGACGUCAAAUCAUCAUGCCCUUUAUGUCUUGGGCUACACACGUACUACAAUGGCUAUAACAAAGAGAAGCGAGACAGUGAUGUGGAGCAAAACUCAAAAAAAUAGUCUCAGUUCGGAUUGAAGGCUGAAAUUCGCCUUCAUGAAGCUGGAAUUGCUAGUAAUGGCAGGUCAGCAUACUGCCGUGAAUACGUUCCCGGGCCUUGUACACACCGCCCGUCACACCAUGAGAGUCGGGAAUACCCGAAGCCUGUGAGCCAACAUAUUUAUAUGAGGCAGCAGUCGAAGGUAGAAUCGAUGAUUGGGGUG